AUUCCAUGAUGAUGACAUUUCCGAAGAAGAUCCUUGAAUCUCUCUCAUGCAUCUGAAACCACUUCAUCUUCUUCUUGAGGCAACAUUAAAAUCUCAUUUCUAAAUUU